ensembl:lncRNA
UAGCUUAGGUUAGAUGGACAUCAUUCUGAUUAGGCCAUGAAUUUUAGGCUGUCUAUGAAUAGUAAUGUUUUCAUUUCUGAAAUACAUUGAGUCUCUCCACAGCAUCAACCCUCUCAUGCCAUGGUUUGAACUUUGGAGUGUGCACAAGGAUGGAAGAAGUACAAGGAGUGGUGGGACGUAAUGCAAAGAGGGAGAAAACAGAAGCUUUGGGAUUCUUCUUUUUAACCUCCAAAGUGUUAUGGGUGUGAAAGCUGUGGACAAAAUCUUCCCCACUGGAUGCUGUCUACAGAGCGGGUUUCCCCAGUUGAGAGUUGAACCUCCUACCAGUUGUGUGACCUUCGGACUAUGGGUAUUGAUGAAGGCACACAGCUAUAAUCUCAGAUUAUGAUGUACCUGCACCUUCACUUCUGCCAGUAUUACUUGCUGUGCUCAGCCAGCUGCAGAGCGACUCUGCUGGAGGAAAGAUCACAUCCAAGGACCUCCAUCCAAUGUCAGGAGACGUGCCUUAAUCUCUGGCUCACAGCCUUGUCAAAUGCUGCAGUAAAGAACUGGCAAGCUCAGUGCUGCUAAUGGAUUGAAAUCUCCACCAGGUUGUUCUUUUUUAAUCUUUUUCCCCACUUUUCUUCUUUCUUCUUCUUCUUCUUUUCUUUUUUUUUUUUGUCUUUCUUUUUUUCUUCCUAAAUACUGCAGCAACCACAGUAAUAUUCCAGUCCUCAGUCUUCUGUAAUUAUUGGUUAGGGACUUUGGACUGAAGAACAUGUAAAGGAAACAUAUAUUGCACCACUAAAAAGUGUCAAGGAUUUGGUUGCUUAUGUAGGUCAAUCAUUAAGGGAAAGAAAUAAGAUUAAAACCAGAGGCAGUUCCGCGUAUUUGAAGUUCCUCCUGAAGAUAUAAAAACUGUGGUGUUUAUGCUUAUAACUUCUGACAGGUUGGCUAAGUCAUAGGCGUUUUGUCUCUCCUAUUGUAGAAGUGGAGAAUGUUUGGGCUUAUUUAUUUAUUUACUGUCUUUUUGCCAGAAGGUAACUGUAAGCCUGUGUGUGAAUCACAUCUGAAUUGCUUGCAAAUGAGUAGGUACAACGUUGGAAAUUAUGACAGACUCUCGUUUUUGGUCUUUUUGUUAUUGUUGUUAGACUAAUACUGGGGUUUGGGGCAGCUCUCCCUAAUCCUGACAUAAACUGGAAAGCUGUGACUGUUUCAGAAUUUAUGUUGUUUUCUUUUUUUUUUCUUAUUACAGAGAUAUGCUGUGCAACCUCAGCUUGCCUCUUCUAUGAGUUCUGCUCUUGUGCAGCUGAAAGACAUCACUGAGCAAAACUGACCCCUUUGCAAUGGUAUUUUGAGCCUUGGAUGCAAAGAUGGAUGCACCAUUACAGCGUGGUUUGCAACCUGAUGUUUUUCAGAAUUUGUGAGUCUUUACAGUAACUUGUGUUGCAACCCAAAAUCUGUGAAUAUUAAGCUCAGGGGAAAAACAGAACAAAAAAAGAGAGGUGGGAAAGCAAUUAUGCACUCAUUCAUGCUAGGGGCAGGAAUUUGUAGCGUUCCUUUGAUCGCUGUUAACCUGGUUCUGUCAAUACUGAUAACUUUAUGAUGUCCUGGUAAGAGGAAAAUCCAAUCCACGCACUGACGGGCACCGAAAGAAAUUCAGAGCUGAAAUGUUACCAAGUGAUGAGUGUGCAGGUAGCAUUGCUUAUUCCAUGUCAUUGUGCUGUGGAAUUGAUGGUAGGAUGAUGCUCAUUUGAGAGACAGAGGUUGUAUGCUGUAUUUAAAGUGGUGUUUUCCAUAGAGCUCCAUAGAGCUCCUGUCUAUCUAUGGGAACUGCUGAAACACUGGCAAAUCUAAUCUUGGAACAUUUCCAUCAUCAAAGAUCGUCUGUUCUGCUGUGGAAGACCACAUAGACUCAGGUCCUCAUCCUUUUUGCCCAUUGAAAUGUUAUGUGAAUGAAAGUGAGUGUACUCAGUGCAUCCACACAGUGUUGCAGGUAGAUGGCCUACAACCAGCAUGUCAUCUCUGCAUCUUCCCAGCUUGCAGUGUCCUUAAAAAAACACAUACGUAUAAUACUUCUGAGCUGCCUACUGAAAGCAGCAGUUUGCAAUAUAUGAGGGCAUUUUUUCUAAAGGCUGAAUUUUAUAUCAAAAGGUGCACUGAAUCCUUGAAUGAUAUUUGAGGAUAGCAAAAGACACCUGAGUUCUUGUGAAUAAAAGGCAGUUUCUUAAAGAGCUCA